rfam:Triticum urartu cultivar G1812 contig1413804, whole genome shotgun sequence.
UAAGAAAAUUAUUAUAUCAAUAAUUUUCAUCAAUUUAAAAGGUUUUAUAAAAUGGCUCGUAUUGCAGGUAUUAAUAUUCCUGAA